rnacentral:lncRNA from 1 species
UUUUGCAGUUCCUGAAUUGGUGAUUAGAAGUUUGUUAUUUGGCAAUGAAUUAAAUGAAGCAAAAAAUCUUCUGGAUUGAGACGGAAGCCAAAUCCAUGGAGUCAAGCACUGUCAUCAGGACUGCAGCCAGGAGCUGAGGAAAGACACUGGU